CACUGAAUAAAUGACUCAUCUUGAAUAAAUGAGUCACUGAAUAAAUGACUCACCUCAUGUUGUGAGAGAUACAUACAUGAAGUGUUUCAAUGAUCGCACGACUAUGCAUUGUAUUAUGAGGGCAGUUAUGAAUGACAAACUUAGCCAUAAGUUCGAGGAUGUGUAGCUAGAGAAGAUCAUUCAAAUGUUGAAUGAGUCCUUUGGCACCUCAGAG
rnacentral:lncRNA from 1 species